GCCGCUGAAGCCCAGAUGGUAGAGGCAUCGCCAGUACAGAUGGUGAAGGUCGCUGGUUCAAGUCUAGCCUGCGGUG